CCUACGGGUGGCUGCAGUGGGGAAUAUUGCACAAUGGAGUUAACUCUGAUGCAGCGACGCCGCGUGAGUGAAGACGUACUUCGUUAUGUAAAGCCCUAUCAGCCGGGAAGCAAGUGACGGUACCUGAAAACGAAGCUACGGCUAAAUACGUGCCAGCAGCCGCGGUAAUACGUAGGGAGCAAGCGUUAUCCGGAUUUACUGGGUGUAAAGGGAGAGUAGGUGGCAGUGCAAGUCCGAAGUGAAAACCCACGGCUCAACUAUGGGAAUGCUUUAGAAACUGGUCAGCGAGAGUGCAGGAGAGGCAAGUGGAAUGCUUGGUGUAGCGGUGAAAUGCGUAGAUAUUAGGAGGAACACCAGUGGCGAAGGCGGCUUGCUGGACUGUAACUGACACUGAGGCUCGAAAGCGUGGGGAGCAAACAGGAUUAGAUACCCGAGUAGUC
rnacentral:rRNA from 1 species